UCAUAAUUUUUGGCUCAUGACAUUGUAUAAAUUAGUGAAACGCUUGGUGUAGAACCAUAUUUUGCACUUUAUCGAGUUAGAAUGAGCCACUGGAGAUCAACAGAGCCACCUGUAGCUACUCGAAUCCUAACUGAGGAAGAAAAGAGAAUAGCCUUAAGCCAGAUUACAGCUCUAGACCAGUUUGCUGUCAGAGCCAUAGUGUGUGUUCCUCCCCGGGAGGGAGAGAAUGAGAGAUGGAUAGCUGUGAACCCCCAUCACAUUGAUUUCAACAUUCGACAACCAGACCAAAAUCGAACUGUACUGUAUGCAACUGAGUCAUAUGGAUUCAACUACUAUUACAUUGACCAGCUUUUGUGCUGCAUCAAUUGGACAAUUAUUGCCACUGUGAUCUUCUCUAUUCUGACAUCUCCCGUGAUCCUUUUGUGUUGCAUUCCCAUGAUCAAGAAAAUGAAACAGGCUCAGAGAAAAUUUGAGGAGAGAGACAACUUUGGUGGCCGUAUGGAGUACAAGAGUUGCUGUAACUGGUGCAUAGGUCCUGUAAUAUGGAUUACUGCAAUUCUACCAAUACUUGUAAUAGCAGUUGUUCUAGUAGUGGUAUUUGCUGCCCUAGGCAGAUUCUAAUAACUGAACUAUUUUUACAUACAAGAUUAUGAUUUAUUACUUUGGUUCACAAUAACACAUAACUAUGGCAA